rnacentral:misc_RNA from 1 species
AAGUCGUAACAAGGUUUCCGUAGGUGAACCUGCGGAAGGAUCAUUACCUAGAGUUGCGGGCUUUGCCUGCCAUCUCUUACCCAUGUCUUUUGAGUACCUUCGUUUCCUCGGCGGGUCCGCCCGCCGAUUGGACAACACUUAAACCCUUUGUAAUUGAAAUCAGCGUCUGACAAAACUUAAUAGUUACAACUUUCAACAACGGAUCUCUUGGUUCUG